rnacentral:tRNA from 1 species
GCGGCAGUGGCGGAAUUGGCAGACGCAGUAGACUUAGGAUCUACCGGGUAACACCGUGGGGGUUCGAGUCCCUUCUGCCGCA